AGCAGCCGCGGUAAUUCCAGCUCCAAUAGCGUAUAUUAAAGUUGUUGCAGUUAAAAAGCUCGUAGUUGAAUUUCGGGAUCAAUAUGUUGGUCGUGCCUCGGUACGUACUAGCUUAUUGGUUUCUCCUUUCUGAAGAACCAUGAUGUCAUUUAUUUGGUGUCGUGGGGAAUCAGGACUGUUACUUUGAAAAAAUUAGAGUGUUUAAAGCAGGCUCACGCUUGAAUACAUUAGCAUGGAAUAAUGAAAUAGGACGUUUGAUUCUAUUUUGUUGGUUUCUAGGAUCGACGUAAUGAUUAAUAGGGAUAGUUGGGGGCAUUAGUAUUCAAUUGUCAGAGGUGAAAUUCUUGGAUUUAUUGAAGACUAACUACUGCGAAAGCAUUUGCCAAGGAUGUUUUCAUUAAUCAAGAACGAAAGUUAGGGGAUCGAAGACGAUCAGAUACCGUCGUAGUCUUAACCAUAAACUGUGCCGACUAGGGAUCGGAUGAUGUUAAUUUUUAAUGACUCAUUCGGCGCCUUAACC
rnacentral:misc_RNA from 1 species